ACAUGCAAGUCGAACGCUUUUUCUUUCACCGGAGCUUGCUCCACCGAAAGAAAAGGAGUGGCGAACGGGUGAGUAACACGUGGGUAACCUGCCCAUCAGAAGGGGAUAACACUUGGAAACAGGUGCUAAUACCGUAUAACAAUCGAAACCGCAUGGUUUCGGUUUGAAAGGCGCUUUUGCGUCACUGAUGGAUGGACCCGCGGUGCAUUAGCUAGUUGGUGAGGUAACGGCUCACCAAGGCAACGAUGCAUAGCCGACCUGAGAGGGUGAUCGGCCACAUUGGGACUGAGACACGGCCCAAACUCCUACGGGAGGCAGCAGUAGGGAAUCUUCGGCAAUGGACGCAAGUCUGACCGAGCAACGCCGCGUGAGUGAAGAAGGUUUUCGGAUCGUAAAACUCUGUUGUUAGAGAAGAACAAGGAUGAGAGUAGAACGUUCAUCCCUUGACGGUAUCUAACCAGAAAGCCACGGCUAACUACGUGCCAGCAGCCGCGGUAAUACGUAGGUGGCAAGCGUUGUCCGGAUUUAUUGGGCGUAAAGCGAGCGCAGGCGGUUUCUUAAGUCUGAGGGGAAAGCCCCCGGCUCAACCGGGGAGGGUCAUUGGAAACUGGGAAACUUGAGUGCAGAAGAGG
rnacentral:rRNA from 1 species